AUUAAUGCUCGCGGCGUGCCUUAUGCAUGCAAGUCGCACGGUUACCCGCAAGGGUGACAGUGGCAAACGGGUGAGUAACACACGAGUGACCUAUCCUAAAGUGAGGAAUAACUCCGGGAAACCGGUGCUAAUACCUCAUGUGAUAGCGAAGUUAAUAAUUUGCUAUUAAAGCCGUAAGGCGCUUUUGGAGGGGCUUAUGUCUGAUUAGCUAGUUGGUGAGGUAACGGCCCACCAAGGCGAUGAUCAGUAGCUGAUCUGAGAGGAUGACCAGCCACACUGGGACUGAGACACGGCCCAGACUCCUACGGGAGGCAGCAGCAGGGAAUAUUGCGCAAUGGGCGAAAGCCUGACGCAGCGACGCCGCGUGAGGGAUGAAGGCCUUCGGGUCGUAAACCUCUUUUCUCAGGGAAGAAUAAUGACGGUACCUGAGGAAUAAGUCACGGCUAACUACGU
rnacentral:rRNA from 1 species